CACCUGAAAAGCAUCAGUAUAAUUACAAUGCUUAUCUUAUAUAAUGUGCUGGACAAGUUGUUUUUUAGAUAUUUUUUAUAUUUUUAUUGAUUUCAGAGAGAAAGGGAGAGGGAGAGAGAUAUACAAACAUCAAUGAUGAGAGAGAAUCACUGAUUAGCUGCCUCCUGCUCGCCCCCUACUGGGGAUUGAGCCCACAACCCAGGCAUAUGCCCUUGACCAGAAUCGAACUCUGGACCCUUCAGUCCGAAGGCCAAUGUUCUAUCCACUGAGCCAAGCCGCCUAGGGCCUGAACAAGUUUUUAAGUAUACUUACAAAUUAAUUCUUUCUUCAAUCAAAGCAGUAUAAUUGUCACAACAUUCUUCAUCAUCCCAGUCUCUCCAGAGAAAGUCAUAAAAAAACCUAAGAUAAAUCAAGAUGAAAGUGAUCAAAAACAGGUACACUUCCAAGAGAGGCACACUAUGCUCUAGUUCUUCUAAAACCUCAUUAACCAAAUUCCUUGGAAUAUUUGCAAUAUUAGAAGAAAAAGGCUCAGCAACAGAAACAGUCACUCUGAAACAUGAUGAUGAGCUCUGGCGUGGUGUACAAGUUGCCUAAAAUAAAUAUUUUAAAAUUUUA